UACGAAGGGGGCUAGCGUUGCUCGGAAUCACUGGGCGUAAAGCGCACGUAGGCGGCUUACUAAGUCAGGGGUGAAAUCCUGGAGCUCAACUCCAGAACUGCCUUUGAUACUGGUGAGCUUGAGUCCGGAAGAGGUGAGUGGAACUGCGAGUGUGGAGGUGAAAUUCGUAGAUAUUCGCAAGAACACCAGUGGCGAAGGCGGCUCACUGGUCCGGUACUGACGCUGAGGUGCGAAAGCGUGGGGAGCAAACAGG
rnacentral:rRNA from 1 species